UAUGUGAUCGUCUCUCGCAUAUCAAUAAGCGGAGGAAAAGAAACUAACAAGGAUUCCCCUAGUAACGGCGAGUGAAGCGGGAAGAGCUCAAAUUUGAAAUCUUAAAGGGUUUCCCUUUACGAAUUGUAGUUUAAAGAAGUGUUUUCUGUUGAGGUUUUGGUAAAAGUUCUUUGGAAUAGGACAUCAUAGAGGGUGAGAAUCCCGUAUUUGACCUUUACUUUCAACUUUGUGAUACACUUUCAAAGAGUCGGAUUGUUUGGGAAUGCAGUCCAAAAUGGGUGGUAAAUUUCAUCUAAAGCUAAAUAUUGGCGAGAGACCGAUAGCGAACAAGUACCGUGAGGGAAAGAUGAAAAGAACUUUGAAAAGAGAGUUAAACAGUACGUGAAAUUGUCAAAAGGGAAGCGUUUGACACCAGUGUUGUUUUUCUGAAAAUCAAUUAAAGAACUGUUUAUGCUAAGCUGUUUAGACUUUAUCAGCUAUCUGUUUAGUUUUGAGCUUUUCUUUAAUGCACUUUUCAGUUAACAAGUCAACAUCAAUUUCUUUUGCUGUAAAAAAGCUUGAGGAAGGUGGCUUGAGAUUCGUCUUAAGUGUUUAUAGCCUCUUGCCUAUGCAGUCGGAGAGAUUGAGGUCUGCAGCGUAGAUCCUUCGGGGCUAAGUGCAUUUGUGCUAAGUUAUAGCAUUUUAUAGACAACUUGUUGACUAUGAUUUGUCUUGUAGCUUACUCGCUUAUGUUAUUUUACCUACGCUUAGGAUGUUGAACGCGCACAGAGUCUC
rnacentral:rRNA from 1 species